UACGUAGGGCGCAAGCGUUAUCCGGAAUUAUUGGGCGUAAAGAGCUCGUAGGCGGUUUGUCGCGUCUGCCGUGAAAACCCGGGGCUCAACCCCGGGCCUGCAGCCGAUACGGGCAGACUAGAGUUCGGCAGGGGAGACUGGAAUUCCUGGUGUAGCGGUGAAAUGCGCAGAUAUCAGGAGGAACACCGGUGGCGAAGGCGGGUCUCUGGGCCGAUACUGACGCUGAGGAGCGAAAGCGUGGGGAGCGAACAGG
rnacentral:rRNA from 1 species